rnacentral:rRNA from 1 species
CGUGGCGGCGUGCCUAACACAUGCAAGUCGUACGAGAAAGUUGGCUUCGGCCGAUGAGUACAGUGGCGCACGGGUGAGUAACGCGUGGAUAAUCUGCCCUUAAGUGUGGAAUAACGUACCGAAAGGUGCGCUAAUACCGCAUAAUGCCUGGCAACAUAAGUUGUCCGGCCAAAGAAGGCCUCUGCUUGCAAGCUUUCGCUAAAGGAUGAGUCCGCGUACCAUUAGCUAGUUGGUGGGGUAACGGCCUACCAAGGCGACGAUGGUUAGCUGGUCUGAGAGGAUGAUCAGCCACACUGGAACUGAGACACGGUCCAGACUCCUACGGGAGGCAGCAGUGAGGAAUAUUGCGCAAUGGGGGCAACCCUGACGCAGCAACGCCGCGUGAGUGAGGAAGGUUUUCGGACCGUAAAGCUCUGUCGAGCGGGAAGAAAUGUAUCAUGGCUAAUAUCCAUGAUACUUGACGGUACCGCUAAAGGAAGCACCGGCUAACUCCGUG